GUGACUAGCAAGUUGCCCUUCUCAAAGGGAACGUACCCUUUGACUCCCAAAGAAAUAAUGCGUAAAUAAAUCCUUUAUGCAUACGCAUAAAGGUGAUUUAUGUAUUUCAUAUUGUAUGAAAAACAUUGAUAUGAGUUGUACCUAGAACGGUACAAGAUGAUAUCAGUGCAAGCCCAUGAUCAGAACCAUGGCAACUGUCAAGUGAGUCCUUAAGUAUUUAAGAAAUACUAAAGGAUAAAUUCCUCAAAGAUCGAGGAAGAAUUAGAGUAACGUAAUGGAAGCGUAAAUGUAUUAGAUUAUGAAUCUAAUCCAUCAUUGAAUGUUUCUUCAUUAUGAAUGAAGAGAUAAACAGAUAUCUCUUUAUUAUGACAAAAGAGAUAUUUGGAUGGAAACAUUAAAGUAAUGACU
rnacentral:lncRNA from 1 species